rnacentral:lncRNA from 1 species
ACAACUAUGAUCAUGCUCAAGUAAUAACAAAUGCAAACACCAUGCAAUCUAACACAUACUCACAAUACUAUGAACUGACACAAUUUAAAUGCAUAUAUCCUAACAUGAACAUAAAAUUCUACUAUGAAAACUAAAAACUAAAAACUAAAAAACUACCCCCAAACUUAAAUUGAGCAAUGUCCUCAUACAAAAUAUAAAACAAUUAAAACCGAGGACUUCCCUGAUUAGGUCACUCUUCGAGAGCGACCUCCUUAUCCUCGCUCAUCUCUUGAUCAAACGAGGGGAAAACAGGCACAACUGGAUAGUGGCUUGGAUCCACUGUUGUGUUCAUCCGUGCAAACUUAUUUGUUAGGGCAAUGCUAUAGCCAAAAAUUUACCCAAAUAUAGUUUCUUGGCGUUUAGCCAGUAAGACAUUCUAUGACUCAAUGUUGUAGAACCACCCAUCCACCUCAUGCUAGACUUCCUCAGAAACUACACGAUGAGGAGCGGCGAAAAAGGAACCCAAAGUCGUAGGAUUAGGGGCUUUUUGUGGAUCCGGCUGUGGAAUAAUAAAUCCUAAUCCUCGCGGGUCUGAGUCCCCACCAGUCUAAACCUUGUAUCACAUUAUCAUUUUGUGAUCUAGCACCGACAUAGGCUGCUGAAGCAUCUCAUCAUUUCUCUAUUUAACGCCAGCUUUAGCACAAAGAACACAUGUGAGAGAAGGGUGAGGCAGGCCCCUAGUGGUACCCCCCUCGCAAGACAUAAUCGAUUGUUUAAUGAUGAAGCCCACAUCCAUUUUCUUACCUUUCACCAAACAAUAUAGAAGGACUGCCCUCUCCUUAGUUACGUCGCUAAUGUGAGUACAUGACAUCAGUAUUGCACAUAUGAAAGCGUAUCAGGCUUUCCCAUAUCGGCUAAGGCGUGAUUGGGGAAAGGUCAUAUUUCUGUGCUCAUGCCUCGUACAUGUUGUUCUAGGGUGGCACAACUCCUGAAUAAUUUGGUCAUAAUCUGGUCCCUGACUUACAAAGCUAGUGUAUUGUAUUGGGCAAUUUAUAGAACUCAUUUAUAGCAGUACUAUUUAUUUCCACAGUUUUUUCCCCUUACUUGCACUCCCAAGUGGAAUUAUUCCAUUUGCAUAAAAUUCUUUUACCACAACAAUGAUAGCUGGGUCAGGUUGUGCCUUGAAAUCAAACUAAUCGCGCUCUGCGAUCAUAACAGUAAUUUCUUUGUCCUUUGUUUGAUCCGGACUUAAUCCCCUCUUUGGUAUUAGAGAUUGUGUCACCGGUCUAUUAUAGCUUUCUUGUGCUUCAGCACUCGAAAAUCUCUUAUUGUCAAAUGGUGUAGGGGGCGCAGAAGACAAACCAGAUCCAUCAACACGUAGCCUCUUUGAUGCCAUUUCUUUUGAACCUGCAAUGGGAAAUAAGUUAAU